UAAGUGAUUCUCCCAAUCCCUGAAAUAAACUCCUUUACCUCUUAUCUCUUCUUUUUCUGUUAUACCUGAUCCACCUAGGGAAGCACAAUUCCGCUGCUGGCCCUCCUGGGAAGCAUGUCCUGAGGCCCACCUUACAAGUGAUGCCCCUGCCUCUGCCCUGGCCACCCCAUCAUGGCUCCAUUGAUAUCUGUGCUCCCUCAGUCCAGAACUUUCACUCAAACUCAUAAGAGAAGUGAAUAGAUGGCUGGUUGAAGCACAUGGAAGUCCAUAUACAUCCAAGAAGAGGCUUCUACAAAUUUCACAUGGAUUCUCAGAACCAAAACUACAUUGCCAGAAAAGAUCCACCUUCAUUCUGUCAUGCACAACAGUGUUUACUUGUUCCUUACAAGAAAACAAGACUUAACCUGCGCUUCAGCCAUCAGAAAGGACAAAUACCCACCAUUUGCUUCAACAUGGUUGGAACUGGAGGGUGUUAUGCUGAGUGAAAUAAGUCAAUCGGACGACAAUCAUCAUAUGGUUUCACACAUGUGCAGAAUAUAAGAAAUAGUGAAAGGGACUAUAAGGGAAAGGAGGGAAACUCAGUGGGGAAAAAUUAGAGAGUAGGACAAACCAUGAGAGACUCCUGGCCCUGGGAAACAAAUAAGGUUUGCAGAAGGGGAAGAGAGUGGGGAAUGGAGUGGCUGGGUGACAGGCACUGAGGAGAGCACUUGAUGGGAUGAGCACUGGGUGUUAUACUGUAUGCUGGGCAAAUUGAAUUUAAAUUAAAAAAAAAGAAAAAA
rnacentral:lncRNA from 1 species